UGCUAACAGAGACUGUUUGCCUCUAAAGCC
rnacentral:piRNA from 1 species